rnacentral:rRNA from 1 species
UGGGGAAUUUUGCACAAUGGGGGAAACCCUGAUGCAGCGACGCCGCGUGAUUUAGAAGGCCUUCGGGUUGUAAAAAUCUUUUCUAUGGGAAGAAAAUGACAGUACCAUAGGAAUAAGGACCGGCUAAUUACGUGCCAGCAGCCGCGGUAAUACGUAAGGUCCGAGCGUUGUCCGGAAUCAUUGGGCGUAAAGGGUACGUAGGCGGGUAAGCAAGUUAGAAGUGAAAUCCUAUAGCUCAACUAUAGUAAGCUUUUAAAACUGCACAUCUUGAGGUAUGGAAGGGAAAAGGGAAUUCCUAGUGUAGCGGUGAAAUGCGCAGAUAUUAGGAGGAAUACCGGUGGCGAAGGCGACUUUCUGGCCAUAACCUGACGCUGAGGUACGAAAGCGUGGGUAGCAAACAGG